CCGCUGUUCCCGCCCCAGCGCGGCCGGAUGCCGGCGGCAGCGGAGCGGAGGCGGCAGCGCCGCGUGGUGCGGGCCGGGCCCGGGGCAGGUCUCCAGUUAAACUGAGCACAUUCCGGCCAGCCCAGAGCUAUGAUCCAGACGCCUGAUCCUGUGUGGGGCUGGGGUUGGAUCCCAGGCUUCUCUCUGGCCUCUGGAAUGAUGGGACAUCCCUCCUGCAGGCUGUGACCCAACAGAAGAGGCUUCCCUUUGUUCAAGGAGGAGCUGGGGCUGUCUGCAAAACGCUGAUCCCAGUCUGACCAGCAGGACUGGCACUGGUUUGGAGUAGGGAGUCAGUGGGUCGGUGAUCACAGCCCUCUGUUUUGUUGGUUAUAAAGUGGCUGGUUUUGCACUUUGUGGAUUUUGGGGGUCACACAUCAAUAAAACUGGAGGAUGUGUA